UCCUACGGGGGGCAGCAGUGGGGGAUAUUGCACAAUGGGGGAAACCCUGAUGCAGCGACGCCGCGUGAGCGAUGAAGUAUUUCGGUAUGUAAAGCUCUAUCAGCAGGGAAGAAAAUGACGGUACCUGACUAAGAAGCCCCGGCUAACUACGUGCCAGCAGCCGCGGUAAUACGUAGGGGGCAAGCGUUAUCCGGAUUUAUUGGGUGUAAAGGGUGCGUAGACGGGUCUACAAGUUAGUUGUGAAAUCCCUCGGCUCAACUGAGGAACUGCAGCUAAAACUAUAGAUCUUGAGUGCAGGAGAGGUA
rnacentral:rRNA from 1 species